AGUGGCAGACGGGUGAGUAACGCGUGGGAACCUUCCCAAUGGUACGGAAUAACCCAGGGAAACUUGGGCUAAUACCGUAUACGCCCUUCGGGGGAAAGAUUUAUCGCCAUUGGAUGGGCCCGCGUCGGAUUAGCUAGUUGGUGAGGUAACGGCUCACCAAGGCUACGAUCCGUAGCUGGUCUGAGAGGAUGAUCAGCCACACUGGGACUGAGACACGGCCCAGACUCCUACGGGAGGCAGCAGUGGGGAAUAUUGGACAAUGGGCGAAAGCCUGAUCCAGCCAUGCCGCGUGAGUGAUGAAGGCCUUAGGGUUGUAAAGCUCUUUCGACGGGGAAGAUAAUGACGGUACCCGUAGAAGAAGCCCCGGCUAACUUCGUGCCAGCAGCCGCGGAAAUACGAAGGGGGCUAGCGUUGUUCGGAAUCACUGGGCGUAAAGCGCGCGUAGGCGGACUGAUAAGUCGGGGGUGAAAGCCCGGGGCUCAACCUCAGAAUUGCCUUCGAUACUGUCAGUCUUGAGUCCAGGAGAGGUUGGUGGAAUUCCUAGUGUAGAGGUGAAAUUCGUAGAUAUUAGGAAGAACACCAGUGGCGAAGGCGGCCAACUGGCCUGGUACUGACGCUGAGGCGCGAAAGCGUGGGGAUCAAACAGGAUUAGAUACCCUGGUAGUCCACGCCGUAAACGAUGGAAGCUAGCCGUUG
rnacentral:rRNA from 2 species